GUCGUUUGGACCUUUUGCAACUUGACGGUCCCAUCUGAAAACUGUCAAAACAAUCUAAAAAUUCAGAUGGGACCUUUGGUUGUUAAUUAAUAUUUUGUAUUUUAAAAUGUAUAAAGUAUGUUGUAAUUUGUACAAAUUUGGUGGUGCAAAUAUCAGGGAAAUAUGGAUCAGCGCAGAAUUAAAAACAAGUUACUGUAGUAGCGGCACAACCAAUUCCGGUCCAAGUUCCGGUCGGAGUAACUCGCGGUAUUAUACUUAGGCUCUCCAACUUUUUGUUGGAACAUUGGAUAUGAGCGGUUUGGAUGGAUCAAAUUAGCUGUUUCCGACGAAUUAAAAAAGUAGAGCAACGAUGGAAGAAGGGGAAACAAUUCUGGUUAGGUCAGAGGAAGUGGACUCUGGGUAGAAUAGGAGCCAGAAAAGAAGUACAGAGAACGAGUUGUAACGAGCUGCACAUCGCCAACCACGGAUCCUACGGAAGAUUCGAAAAUCAUCUACCUAAUCCUUGCACACCUCGUUGUCCGUCGGAUCACUAUCGAGAACCACAUUCACCGGAUUAUUGAAAUCCUGGCCACAUGCCCGGCACAACACAGCUGUCCGAUGUUUACGGUAUGAACGGCUGAUAGUUCCCCCAACACCUGAUGCUGUUAGUUUAUUCGGCUCCUACAUGUGUCGUCCGAGGUGUCAUCUUCCAUCUGCACCCACAUGCAGCGAAAUAUAUAUAAGAUCAACAAUCAAACCCUACCGCUUCCUAGGCAGGCCCCGCAUGCCGCAUCUUCUUAUUCUAUAACUGAAGUCAGAAGGACAGCAUUGGCUACAGUAACACUAUACAACCUUAAACCUGUGGCAUGGUGGUUAUUUGCCUCCGGCGCAUGGAAGCACGAAAUUAAAACUUGUGAAAACCAGAGGUAAUAAUAACGUUUUAUUAAAUAACUCUUUUCGAUUUAAUUUUAUCAAACUAAUGGUCAUUCCUUGGUUCCUGGCUAAUGAAUCGACUGCUUUGAGCGUGCUUACAGCGGCACACUAGGAGUUAACUUUCUGAAAUCAGUAUGGCGAAAGGCAUCUAAGGUUCGAUUUCUCCAAAUUAAGCACUUUAAUCUAAAAAAUAUUUGGUAGGCGUAGUAGCGGACACCAUCCCUCAUAACCGGUACCAAAUAGUUUUUCAUGAAAAGUUUCUAAUUUUGAGAAAAGCCGCGUUAGAUGUCUUUCGCCAUACAAAUUUCUGGCGGUUAACUCUUGCUGGCUAUUUUCGCAUAUACGAUAGCGCCUGGAAGUGGAAGCGGCGAGUAGCAAAUCAGCCACUGCCAAUAAUUCAUUUCAAUGAAAAUAAGUCAUCUAUUCUAUCGCUUGGCGACUUCGAUUCUGCUAACUAGUUGACGCCGUUCUAGCGAUGAAACCGCUUAAGUUUGGGGGAGCCUUAAAAGCGCGAAAUUCCCAGUUUAUGGAUGACAAGUUUUAUUCUUGGUGCGGUCAUAGUGCUUAGUGUAUCAUUUAUGCUUAUGUUUAAACGAGUUUUAAUAGGUUUAGAUUAGAAAAGUAAACUAAGCGAGUCGCUUCAUUCGAACUUCUAAGCAAGUUGAAAAUGAUGAAAAUAAGUUGGAACACAUCCAGCUCUUAGUAAAUCAACUAGAUUCACUUUCCCAACUUUACAUAAGAUUAUAGAUAAGGCAAGAGAAAAAAUUAAUUUGGUAAACUAUGAAUUGCUUAAUUGCCUUGACUAAAGUUAACCGUGCUUAGCUGCUUCUGUCCAAGUGAGUUGAAUGAAUGUGUUCAGACCUGUGACGUGAUUGAUCCGUCUAACCAAAGCAUUAAAGUGUUGUUGUUGAAACAUUUAGUUAUUUAUAUAAAAUUUGCUAGUUUUCAUAUGAUCCCCUGUAGUAUAAACCUAAAACUAGUCUUAGCAACUCAAGUUUGAUUAGUAUUCAAAAAAUUACCCUAAGGUCCUAUGUGACUUUGAUUGGUGAACAAAGUCCAAUUUGACAGGUCCCAACUGAUUCUUUAAAUGGCAAAAGGUUCAAAGUAACAAAAGUAGUAUAAAAACCAAGAAAAACAUGGAAAUCUAGGAAAAAACAUUGUUAUCAAUUUCUACGACUAUUAAUUUAUCUGAUAACGAUUUAAAAACUGUUUUACGCUAUUGAGAAUUUAAUUGAGAUUUGUUUUCUGCUACCAAAUAUUGCAACCGAGUUUUCUCAGAGCAUGGCAAAUGUUAGAUAGGACUAUUUGAAAUGUUUGACCUUACGAGUUAUAUACCCAGUCAGUGAAACCAUUUUGCUGAUUGUAGUACACCUAAAAUAACAAAAACAAAGAUAAAUGCAUACCAAAAUAAUUAAUUAAUUAAGGACGACUUAUUAGGUUCCGCUUAGGAUACUUUUCCAAAUAAACAUGCAGAAAAUUUUCGCCU